rnacentral:rRNA from 1 species
CCGCAUAAGCCCACGGUACCGCAUGGUACUGAGGGAAAAGGAUUUAUUCGCUUUAGGAUGGACUCGCGUCCAAUUAGCUAGUUGGUGAGGUAACGGCCCACCAAGGCGACGAUUGGUAGCCGGACUGAGAGGUUGAACGGCCACAUUGGGACUGAGACACGGCCCAGACUCCUACGGGAGGCAGCAGUGGGGGAUAUUGCACAAUGGGGGAAACCCUGAUGCAGCGACGCCGCGUGGAGGAAGAAGGUUUUCGGAUUGUAAACUCCUGUCGUUAGGGACGAUAAUGACGGUACCUAACAAGAAAGCACCGGCUAACUACGUGCCAGCAGCCGCGGUAAAACGUAGGGUGCAAGCGUUGUCCGGAAUUACUGGGUGUAAAGGGAGCGCAGGCGGGAAGACAAGUUGGAAGUGAAAACCAUGGGCUCAACCCAUGAAUUGCUUUCAAAACUGUUUUUCUUGAGUAGUGCAGAGGUAGAUGGAAUUCCCGGUGUAGCGGUGGAAUGCGUAGAUAUCGGGAGGAACACCAGUGGCGAAGGCGGUCUACUGGGCACCAACUGACGCUGAGGCUCGAAAGCAUGGGUAGCAAACAGGAUUAGAUACCCUGGUAGUCCAUGCCGUAAACGAUGAUUACUAGGUGUUGGGGGAUUGACCCCCUCAGUGCCGCAGUUAACACAAUAAGUAAUCCACCUGGGGAGUA